ACGCUGGCGGCAGGCCUAACACAUGCAAGUCGAGCGGUAACAGGAAUUAGCUUGCUAAUUUGCUGACGAGCGGCGGACGGGUGAGUAAUGCCUGGGAAUAUGCCUUAGUGUGGGGGAUAACUAUUGGAAACGAUAGCUAAUACCGCAUAACGUCUUCGGACCAAAGAGGGGGACCUUCGGGCCUCUCGCGCUAAGAUUAGCCCAGGUGGGAUUAGCUAGUUGGUGAGGUAAAGGCUCACCAAGGCAACGAUCCCUAGCUGGUCUGAGAGGAUGAUCAGCCACACUGGAACUGAGACACGGUCCAGACUCCUACGGGAGGCAGCAGUGGGGAAUAUUGCACAAUGGGGGAAACCCUGAUGCAGCCAUGCCGCGUGUAUGAAGAAGGCCUUCGGGUUGUAAAGUACUUUCAGUCGUGAGGAAGGSURUGUAGUUAAUAGCUGCAUGCCUUGACGUUAGCGACAGAAGAAGCACCGGCUAACUCCGUGCCAGCAGCCGCGGUAAUACGGAGGGUGCGAGCGUUAAUCGGAAUUACUGGGCGUAAAGCGCAUGCAGGCGGUCUGUUAAGCAAGAUGUGAAAGCCCGGGGCUCAACCUCGGAACCGCAUUUUGAACUGGCAGACUAGAGUCUUGUAGAGGGGGGUAGAAUUUCAGGUGUAGCGGUGAAAUGCGUAGAGAUCUGAAGGAAUACCGGUGGCGAAGGCGGCCCCCUGGACA
rnacentral:rRNA from 1 species